GAUGAACGCUGGCGGCGUGCCUAAUACAUGCCAGUCGAGCGAACAGACGAGGAGCUUGCUCCUCUGACGUUAGCGGCGGACGGGUGAGUAACACGUGGAUAACCUACCUAUAAGACUGGGAUAACUUCGGGAAACCGGAGCUAAUACCGGAUAAUAUAUUGAACCGCAUGGUUCAAUAGUGAAAGACGGUUUUGCUGUCACUUAUAGAUGGAUCCGCGCCGCAUUAGCUAGUUGGUAAGGUAACGGCUUACCAAGGCAACGAUGCGUAGCCGACCUGAGAGGGUGGUCGGGCACACUGGAACUGAGACACGGUCCAGACUCCUACGGGAGGCAGCAGUAGGGAAUUUUGCGCAAUGGGCGAAAGCCUGACGGAGCAACGCCGCGUGAGUGAUGAAGGUCUUCGGAUCGGAAAACUCUGUUAUUAGGGAAGAAAAAAAGUGUAAGUAACUAUGCACGUCUUGACGGUAACUAAACAGAAAGCCACGGCUAACUACGUG
rnacentral:rRNA from 1 species